UACGUAGGGGGCAAGCGUUGUCCGGAAUCAUUGGGCGUAAAGAGCGUGUAGGCGGCCCGGUAAGUCCGCUGUGAAAGUCCAGGGCUCAACCCUGGGAUGCCGGUGGAUACUGUCGGGCUCGAGUCCGGAAGAGGAGUGUGGAAUUCCUGGUGUAGCGGUGAAAUGCGUAGAGAUCAGGCAGAACACCUGGGGCGAAGGCGGCCAGCUGGGCCGUCCCUGACGCUGAGGCGCGAAAGCGUGGGGAGCAAACAGG
rnacentral:rRNA from 1 species